ensembl:ncRNA ZK662.8 ncRNA
AUGCGGUUGUCUUUGUUCUUCACAACAUCCCUGAGUCUCUUCGGAAACGCAUUCACCGUGGCACGGAGGUAUUCCGGGGAUAAUUUAGCCCAUUCUUCUUCGAAACUUCGUUUUAACUACUCCAAAUUGGGAUUUGGACGUUCUUGGACCUUUGACUGAAGAACUCCCCAUAUGGAAUAGUCAAGCGGAUUCAAGUCUGGCGACGAGGCAGGCCAUUCGGAACUGGUGAUGAAUCGAGGGAAAUUGGCUGUGCACCAAGCGUGUACGAUCUUUGCCUUGUGAGCGGGAGCAGAAUCCUGUUGGAAAGUCCAGACUUGGUUUCCGAAAUGGGAUUUGGUCCACGGAAGCACAUGAUUUUUCAAAGUCUCCUCCAAAUAGUACUCCUUGUUGAUUUUUACACCAGGAUCUACGAAAAUCAGAGGCAUCUUGCCAUCGGAGGUGAUUGCACCAAAAACCAUGACUUGUUGAGGAUGCGAAGCUCGCUUGAUCAUUCUACCCUGGUUAUUAGCUUGCUCAGAUGUCGAGGCAAGAACUCGAUGGUUUUGUGGGUUGAAUUCGGCCUCCACCUUAAAGAGUUUCUCGUCG